UUUGGAGAUAGUGCUAAUCUUGAUGCACGAUAGGUGCACGGUUUGCAUUGAACAUACCAUAUGCUAAGAAAUCCAUUUGGAGGCACCCCAGUAGAACUCCUAGAUGACAUUUAUAUGGAAUCUCACUUUGGUCUGUUUGGAGACAGAGUUAGUAUUGGUGCAAGAUAGCUACACAGUUUGCACCUAAUGCAUCAAAGGCUAAGAAACUAUUUUGGAUGCAUCUGUUGAUACUCCUGGGUAAAGGGGCUCAAGUGGAAGCUCAGUUUGCUUUUGUUUGGAGAUAGUGCUAAUCUUGAUGCAAGAUAGGUGCACGAAUUGAAUGGAACGUACCAUAUGCUUAGAAAUAUAUUUGGAAGCACCCAAUAGAACUCCUAGAUGACGUGUGUCAUAUAGAAUCU
rnacentral:lncRNA from 1 species